CCUACGGGAGGCAGCAGUGAGGAAUAUUGGUCAAUGGUCGGGAGACUGAACCAGCCAAGCCGCGUGAGGGAUGAAGGUACAGAGUAUCGUAAACCCCUUUUGUCAGGGAACAAAGGCGGGGACGCGUCCCCGGAUGAGUGUACCUGUAGAAAAAGCAUCCGCUAACUCCGUGCCAGCAGCCGCCGUAAUACGGAGGGUGCGAGCGUUAAUCGGAAUUACUGGGCGUAAAGCGCUCGUAGGCGGUAUGUCAAGUCAAGGGUGAAAUCCCCGCGCUCAACGUGGGAACUGCCUUUGAAACUGGCAAACUGGAGUGUGUGAGAGGAUAGUGGAAUUCCAGGUGUAGGAGUGAAAUGCGUAGAUAUCUGGAGGAACAUCAGUGGCGAAGGCGACUAUCUGGAACAUAACUGACGCUGAGGAGCGAAAGCGUGGGGAGCAAACAGGAUUAGAUACCCGGGUAGUC
rnacentral:rRNA from 1 species